AGAGUUUGAUCAUGGCUCAGAUUGAACGCUGGCGGCAGGCCUAACACAUGCAAGUCGAACGGUAACAGGAAGCAGCUUGCUGCUUCGCUGACGAGUGGCGGACGGGUGAGUAAUGUCUGGGAAACUGCCUGAUGGAGGGGGAUAACUACUGGAAACGGUGGCUAAUACCGCAUAACGUCGCAAGACCAAAGAGGGGGACCUUCGGGCCUCUUGCCAUCAGAUGUGCCCAGAUGGGAUUAGCUUGUUGGUGAGGUAACGGCUCACCAAGGCGACGAUCCCUAGCUGGUCUGAGAGGAUGACCAGCCACACUGGAACUGAGACACGGUCCAGACUCCUACGGGAGGCAGCAGUGGGGAAUAUUGCACAAUGGGCGCAAGCCUGAUGCAGCCAUGCCGCGUGUAUGAAGAAGGCCUUCGGGUUGUAAAGUACUUUCAGCGGGGAGGAAGGUGUUGUGGUUAAUAACCACAGCAAUUGACGUUACCCGCAGAAGAAGCACCGGCUAACUCCGUGCCAGCAGCCGCGGUAAUACGGAGGGUGCAAGCGUUAAUCGGAAUUACUGGGCGUAAAGCGCACGCAGGCGGUCUGUCAAGUCGGAUGUGAAAUCCCCGGGCUCAACCUGGGAACUGCAUUCGAAACUGGCAGGCUUGAGUCUUGUAGAGGGGGGUAGAAUUCCAGGUGUAGCGGUGAAAUGCGUAGAGAUCUGGAGGAAUACCGGUGGCGAAGGCGGCCCCCUGGACAAAGACUGACGCUCAGGUGCGAAAGCGUGGGGAGCAAACAGGAUUAGAUACCCUGGUAGUCCACGCCGUAAACGAUGUCUACUUGGAGGUUGUGCCCUUGAGGCGUGGCUUCCGGAGCUAACGCGUUAAGUAGACCGCCUGGGGAGUACGGCCGCAAGGUUAAAACUCAAAUGAAUUGACGGGGGCCCGCACAAGCGGUGGAGCAUGUGGUUUAAUUCGAUGCAACGCGAAGAACCUUACCUGGUCUUGACAUCCACAGAACUUUCCAGAGAUGGAUUGGUGCCUUCGGGAACUGUGAGACAGGUGCUGCAUGGCUGUCGUCAGCUCGUGUUGUGAAAUGUUGGGUUAAGUCCCGCAACGAGCGCAACCCUUAUCCUUUGUUGCCAGCGGUCCGGCCGGGAACUCAAAGGAGACUGCCAGUGAUAAACUGGAGGAAGGUGGGGAUGACGUCAAGUCAUCAUGGCCCUUACGACCAGGGCUACACACGUGCUACAAUGGCGCAUACAAAGAGAAGCGACCUCGCGAGAGCAAGCGGACCUCAUAAAGUGCGUCGUAGUCCGGAUUGGAGUCUGCAACUCGACUCCAUGAAGUCGGAAUCGCUAGUAAUCGUGGAUCAGAAUGCCACGGUGAAUACGUUCCCGGGCCUUGUACACACCGCCCGUCACACCAUGGGAGUGGGUUGCAAAAGAAGUAGGUAGCUUAACCUUCGGGAGGGCGCUUACCACUUUGUGAUUCAUGACUGGGGUGAAGUCGUAACAAGGUAACCGUAGGGGAACCUGCGGUUG
rnacentral:rRNA from 2 species